rnacentral:lncRNA from 10 species
AGGCCAUCAGAGUGGAAGGGAGAAGUCUGCCAGCAAAAUCACUCAAUUUGGAUUUUUUGUUCUCUCGGGCACAGAUACUCAGAGGAGGAAGAAAACUACCAGACUUUCUUUAACUCUGAAGCAAGCAAAAAAAGGCAGAAAAUGCUGAAGGAAUUCAUAAUUGUUAUUAUAGACAAAAAGGAAAAGAAAACUAGGACUAGAAUACUAUGACAAGAAUGAAACAGUACUGGAUGACAUCAUGUUUUACAUGGCUUUCCAAUAACAGUUCAGAUAGAGCCUACAAGAGACAAAAGCCUCACGAUCAAGAGAAAUAGAAGCAGAAAGAAUAAAAAGGGCACUGAGGAAGCACAACAUAAAACUAAGGUAUGGCAGAUCACCAGCUCUUUGCUGUAUGUCGAUUGUGUCAUUCUUCUACAUUGAAUUCUACUUAGAAGUGUUUGUGCCGAUCUUGCCUACCAGGCUUGGCAUUCUCUCAGUUGGCAUGUAGUAGUCAUUCAAUAAACAUAUGCUAAGGAAAUGCAUGAUGAAUAAAUAAAUAUGUGAAUAUGCUAACAUCAGUUGGAAUUCAAUUCAAUCCAUAAAACCUUUUAAGUGCCUAUGAUGUGCAGUGAAUGUUCUUCUCCAGGAAUUGCAGUGUUUCAGGCAAGCCAAAUACAUAAAUAAUUAAUAGUAGCAGACUCUGAUAAAUACAUAAUAGAGUUGAAAAGAAGCUGAGAAAAAUGAAGACCACAGGAAGGCUUUUCAGAGGAGAUUAGAUUUUAAUGAGCCUUUGAAAAAUUGGAAGAUUCUGGAAGGUAGCUAAGAAGCAAUUAGAAUCCUAGAAAGAAGGGAAGACCAGUGUGCUUUCGGACACAGAAGCAGGAAAUAUACAAGCUGUCGUUGGAGAACUGCAAAUACAAUUUCUAGUCUCUUAGAAUUAAGAAUGUUUUAGUGAAGGUCUUUGGAGAGUUUGGGGAAAAUUGUAAAAGUUGGGUUAGAAGCCUGAGAAGCUGUAUGUUAUUUUUCACAUAAGGGGAGACUAUUGGAAAGUUUUGAGUAGGAAAUAAACUUAGUUCCUGUGAUGGUUAAUACUGAGUGUCAACUUGAUUGGAUUGAAUGAUGCAAAGUAUUGUUCUUGGGUAUGUCUGUGAAGAGGUUGCCAAAGGAGAUUAACAUUUAAGUCACUGGACUGGAAAAGGCAGACUCACCUUCAAGCUGGGUGGGAACAAUCUAAUCAGCUGCCAGUGUGGCCAGAAUAAAGCAGGCCGAAGAAUGUGAAAUAACCAGAUUGACUUAGCCUCCCAGCCUACAUCUUUCUCCCAUGCUGGAUGCUUCCUACCCUCAAACACUGGAUUCCAAGUUUUCAGCUUUGGACUCUGACUGCCUUCCUUGCUCCUUAGCUUGCAGACAGCCUAUUGCAGGACCUUGUGAUCAUGUUUGGAAAGGAUAACCCUGGAAGCAAUGUGGAUUAUGAAUCUGCAAGAGGGAGUAAUGAGAGUGAUUAUGAACAAUAAGGAGGAUAUUUCAAACAGCCAGGAUAAGCAUCAAGGACCCAGCUAGGGUGAUGGCAAUGGAGAUGGGGAUGCACAGGAGAGACUCCUACAAUUCUAUCUUCUGAACGGUUUUGGAACUUUGGGAAAUGGAAAUAUAAUGGGGGUGAAUACCUUUGUAAGUAAAACAAAGAAACAAACUUCUCUGUGAGAAUCUGGAAGAAAAGCAAAGAAGUCUAGUUCCCCAGUGAUUCUUCAAUCCGGAGAAUUUGAAAGUGACUCUGUUGGAAAAAACUCCCAAACCAAUUUUCCUCUACUCUCUUACCAAAAGAACAACAACCAUCAACACAGACAUCUGUGACCACAAAACAUGUCGUGAUUUCUCCCUACCAGCAAGAAAGCAAUCAGUUCUGCAGUAGAUACCAGCUGGGUUUCUUCCAAUUCAGUUCUGACCCUACCCGCCUAGAGAAGAGUGUCAGAUCCCACAGGUUGAGGGCUCAGUCCCCAAAACUGCCUCCUGCCUUCAGACACUUCAGUCACAAGUUUGGGCCUCCAGAACUUCUGACUGGCUAUAAGUUGGGGUUCCUGUGACCCUUCUUUGGGUUCAACUAAUUUGUUAGAGCAACUCACAAAACUCAAGGUAACACUUGCUUUAUGUUUAUUGCUUUAUUAUAAAGGCUAUCACAAAGGAUCCAGAUGAAGAAAUGCAUAAGGUAAGGUAAUGGGGAAGGGGUACAGAGCUUUUAUGUCCUACCUGGGUCUGUUCUCACACUGCUAAUAAAGACAUACCUGAGACUAUGUAAUUUGUUUAAAGAAAAAGAGUUUUAAUGGACUCACAGUUUCAUGUGGCUGGGGAGGCCUCACAAUCAUAAUGGAAGGCAAAGGAGGAGCAAAGUCGUGUCUUACAUGGUGGCAGGCAAGAAAGUGUAUGUAGGGGAACUGCCCUUUAUAAAGCCAUCAGAUCUCGUGAGACUUACUUACUAUCACGAGAACAACAUGUGAAAAACCC